GGGAUCAAUGAGGAGUACCCUGGGAUGUCUGAACAGAGGACUUUGAUUAAGCCCUGUAACUCUGAGGUCCAU
ensembl:snoRNA small nucleolar RNA SNORD113/SNORD114 family